UACGGGGGGGGGCAAGCGUUUGUCCGGAAUUACUGGGCGUAAAGAGCUCGUAGGUGGUUUGUCGCGUUGUUCGUGAAAACUCACAACUCAAUUGUGGGCGUGCGGGCGAUACGGGCAGACUGGAGUACUGCAGGGGAGACUGGAAUUCCUGGUGUAGCGGUGGAAUGCGCAGAUAUCAGGAGGAACACCGGUGGCGAAGGCGGGUCUCUGGGCAGUAACUGACGCUGAGGAGCGAAAGCGUGGGGAGCGAACAGG
rnacentral:rRNA from 1 species